GAUGAACGCUGGCGGCGUGCCUCAAACAUGCAAGUCGAGCGGGGCUAUGUAAUAUCGCAAGGUAGAACAUAGCCUAGCGGCGAACGGGUGAGUAACACGUGGGUAACCUGCCUGGAAGACAGGGAUAACGAUUCGAAAGGGUCGCUAAUACCUGAUAAUAUCCUUUCAUCGCAUGGUGAUAGGAAGAAAGGGGAAACCCGCUUUCAGAUGGGCCCGCGUCCCAUCAGCUAGUUGGUAAGGUAAAGGCUUACCAAGGCGACGACGGGUAGCCGGUCUGAGAGGAUGUACGGCCACACUGGGACUGAGAUACGGCCCAGACUCCUACGGGAGGCAGCAGUUGGGAAUCUUAGGCAAUGGACGAAAGUCUGACCUAGCGACGCCGCGUGAGGGAAGAAGGCCUUCGGGUUGUAAACCUCUGUCAUGGGGGAAGAAGGAGUGACGGUACCCCAAGAGGAAGCCCUGCUAACUACGUG
rnacentral:rRNA from 1 species